rfam:Acinetobacter sp. NCu2D-2, complete genome.
UGCCGGUUACUUCGCAAUUACGGUUUACGAACCCCGCCAGGACCGGAAGGUAGCAACGGUAGUAGAUUUGUGAUGUGCCGAAGCUUUGCUGGUAGGG